rnacentral:rRNA from 1 species
GACGAACGCUGGCGGCGUGCUUAACACAUGCCAGUCGAACGGAAAGGCCCUGCUUUUGUGGGGUGCUCGAGUGGCGAACGGGUGAGUAACACGUGAGUAACCUGCCCUUGACUUUGGGAUAACUUCAGGAAACUGGGGCUAAUACCGGAUAGGAGCUCCUGCUGCAUGGUGGGGGUUGGAAAGUUUCGGCGGUUGGGGAUGGACUCGCGGCUUAUCAGCUUGUUGGUGGGGUAGUGGCUUACCAAGGCUUUGACGGGUAGCCGGCCUGAGAGGGUGACCGGCCACAUUGGGACUGAGAUACGGCGCAGACGCCUACGGGAGGCAGCAGUGGGGAAUAUUGCACAAUGGGGGGAAGCCUGAUACAGCAACGCCGCGUGCGGGAUGCCGGCCUUCGGGUUGUAAACCGCUUUCGACUGUGACGAAGCGUGCGUGACGGUAAUGGGUAAAGAAGCACCGGCUAACUACGUG